CUGUAGGUGUUGCAGUUGGUAGCACUGUUGGCUUGCAGCAAGAAGGUCCUGGGUUCGACUCCUGGUCUGGGGA